rnacentral:rRNA from 1 species
UACGUAGGGGGCAAGCGUUGUCCGGAAUCAUUGGGCGUAAAGAGCGUGUAGGCGGUCCGGUAAGUCGGAUGUGAAAUCUCGGGGCUUAACUCCGAAACUGCAUUCGAUACUACCGUGCUUGAGGACUGGAGAGGAGACUGGAAUUUACGGUGUAGCGGUGAAAUGCGUAGAUAUCGUAAGGAAGACCAGUGGCGAAGGCGGGUCUCUGGACAGUUCCUGACGCUGAGGCACGAAGGCCAGGGGAGCAAACGGG